rnacentral:rRNA from 1 species
GUGCUUAACACAUGCAAGUCGAACGAUGAAGCUGGAGCUUGCUCCGGUGGAUUAGUGGCGAACGGGUGAGUAACACGUGAGCAAUCUGCCCUUGACUCUGGGAUAACUGCGGGAAACUGUAGCUAAUACCGCAUACGCCCUACGGGGAAAGGGGGGGAUCGCAAGACCUCUCACUAUUGGAGCGGCCGAUAUCGGAUUAGCUAGUUGGUGAGGUAAAGGCUCACCAAGGCGACGAUCCGUAGCUGGUUUGAGAGGACGACCAGCCACACUGGGACUGAGACACGGCCCAGACUCCUACGGGAGGCAGCAGUGGGGAAUUUUGGACAAUGGGCGCAAGCCUGAUCCAGCAAUGCCGCGUGCAGGAAGAAGGCCUUCGGGUUGUAAACUGCUUUUGUACGGAGCGAAACGGUCUUUCCUAAUACGAGAGGCUAAUGACGGUACCGUAAGAAUAAGCACCGGCUAACUACGUG